AUAACCCCGGGCUCGUCAGCCACUGUCGAGGUGUCAUCCCAGUCAUCAUCCCAGUCUUCAUCGCUACCCUGGCUGGCUUGGUAUCCGUGUUGCUGCUGCGCGGUGGCAGGCGGUGUGAACGCUGUAAACGCGGGCGGUGUUGUUGUUGUUUUGGACAAGUUUUCAAUUUGAUUUAAUGUUUUAUUCGAGGCGUCUCCGAAACCUCCGGUGGGAAUAUUGGCGUAUCGGGAUCCCUGCGUCCAGGCCUCCAGAAUACUCGCCCAAUCACCUGCUGUACGGACGGAAGCCGCAACUGUUUACUGAGAUCAGAAUGCCUUCGAGGACCACCUUCAAGCAGGGACUGAGAAGGAUGUGGAGGUUUUUGACCAGGUGAGACUGAACAUGGAGAAGGUGCAGGAGAAACAGAAUGAGAGCCACCGGAGGAGAAUCAAAGGGACAAAAUGCUUUGAACAUCCGGGCUAAUGACUUGGCUUGGAAGAAAGACAAAAAGGAAGGCGAGACCUGCGAAACCUUCCUGCUCUUUCGCUCCUAGCUUUGGUCACCAUCUGUUAAGGAGAAGAUAAAAUCUCACAUUAUAACUAUUUGCAUUUGCAUCCUCAUGGUGGGCGGCAUUGCCAUGCUGUCAGCAGUACCAAAACUGGCCCAGGGGUUUAUCUCCAAAUAGUCAAUCUCAAGGCCAACCGCUGGGUCACGUUAAGUGACCUGGGGCGGCAGGUAGCCUAGUGGUUAGAGGGGGCGGCAGGUAGCCUAGUGGUUAGAGGGGGAGGCAGGUAGCCUAGUGGUUAGAGU